CCUCUUUGUCGUUGAUCACAUACUUGCGAAUGCAGAUUGCCGCGAACUAGUUCCUCCUCGUGAUCGAAGCUUUAAUCGCAUCUCAUUGCGAACUGGAGUUAAUGGUGGAAGUGCUUCGAUUUGUCACAAUUUUUAAGCAAGCUUGGAUAUUGGAAAUGGAAUUAUCUUGGCAAGUUCUCGCAAAUAUUGUCGUGGCGGCUUACGUCGUGGAUGCUGAGGGAAAGACUGGAGUGCUGGAGCCUCGACGACAAGGUUGGAGGUGGGGACGAGACUAUAAACUGCACCAGGAGUCCCUGCAGUCAAGCGAUGCAGACUGAACGCCUGCUGUGCUUGCGUAACCAAUCGGAUCUUACGCUUGGCGGCAAGAAUUAUGAACUCACGGACGAGAAAUGGGCCCGAAUCCCUUCUGUUCUUUGGAGUCGAAUAUUUCUAGUGCCUUGAACUUUCAAGACCUUUUCGUGACCCAUAGAUUAUAAGAUUAAUGUAACAAGUGGGACGAUGUGCUGUUCCAUUCCUGCCAAUGAGAGAGAACGUAAUGCGUUAUUCAAGUCUUGGCGGCCGCUAUAACAAUCGGCCUUCACGGGAACGGAAAUUGUGAUAACACCAAUAACCGAGAUCACCGGAGUUUACUAUGCAACAGAUGGGGGAUCUCUCAAGUGCAGCUUGCACGCGCGAAUAUUAAACACUUGCUUCGCGGUUACCUGUACGCUCAUUUACGUUCACGCUUGCUUUUCUCCAAAUGUUUUACAUCACCUCAUAAAUGACGGGUAAUGAAGUUAUUGAUAUAAUCGCUAGAAAAUUCUGUGUUAUGUUAACCAUACAUAAAAGGUGCAAUUUCAACGUGUAACAUGUUGGUACAUAAUUUAUAUAACGUUCACUUGAAUAUGCCAAGUAAUAUUGAUCACUUGGGGAAAUUCAUCAAGAAAGUACGAGUUGAAGAAUAACACGUGAAGGGCCCGUGGAGUACGAAGGAAGGUGGGCACGACACCCACGUGUCGUCCGACCACGUACAGAAUAUUCCGGCGCGGAAGAAACGGAAAAAGUCUCCCCUCGCGCAACCUACGCGCGUGUAACCCGUGAUACUCCGACCGGUAAUGCACAGUCGUUUGCACGAGGGGAACGAGUUCCUUUCUGGCUGUGCCGACGCAUGUAAACACCGACUCGAGGAGGAUCAGUCCGAAAGGGUAGGCACACAUAUCAUCGGAGGGUCAUCCUCCUACCCUGCUGGAGUCGAACGUCGUGACCAUCAACGGACAUGCGUUCGUCGUACAAGGACGCAUCGCACAAUGGAGUCAUAAGGAAGUCGCACUCUGAAUUAUGAGACAUUGUCCAGCGACCUGCUUCACCCGCAUAAUUGCGUGCCGAUCGAGUUGUUCGCGGGAUGCAAUUUGUUUCGUCGACCGGCUGGAAUUCGACUGGCUAAUUAAAGCUGGCGGCGCGAUUGUCUUUGGCUAUUGUUACUCGUUGAUGAACCCUGGUCGAGAGGUGAUUGCGAAGGUGUACAUGACUCAGGGGAAACUUUAAAUGGCGCCGUUGGAUUAAAUUAGUAUCGCCCGCUUUGAAUUGUAAAGAUCAAAAUGGUUGGACUCAGACCCUACCAAGCGGUUUUCCGGCUACUAGCGAUAGGGUCCACUGACAGAAAUCGAAGAGAAGGAAUGCAAACAUCGGAGAACACUGUAUGCCUUGGUCAUAUUGGUGGUCACACGUACUCACGUGGGUGGCAGACCAAAGUGGGUGGCUGGUCGACUGGUUGGUUCGAGAGUUGAAGUACCAAAGCUGAAGUGUUCACCGUGCUACGGACACUCGACAAAUCCAUAACCUUUUCUUUUCCCAUUCUUUCAAUUUCUGCAGUGACGAGUCGACGAGGCGAAGGAACCUUGAGAACUGAUCGAUCAAGAAUACCUCUCGAAUACUUUAAGGUGGACAGAAAUUAGAGUUUAUUAGAGCAUUCGCUUGUAAGAGAACAGCGAGCAAUAUGUAUAGGUUUCGCAAAUCGAACCGCGUCCUCGUGUUAUAAUUACCAUUCGUUCGUAAUAUAACAUGAAUACUCAUUACAAGUGAAUGCUCCAGUACGUGUCCACUUUAAGAGGAAUUGUAUACAACUUGCGAGCGAAUUUCAUAACGAAAUGGAACGAGUCUGAGAAAUGAAGAGUAUUUUCCCUUUUGCAAACUGGUAUAAACAUUUAAAAAUUUGAAAUGCUUCCUCUGAGAGUAAAUUGAAUUUAUGAAUGGAACUAAAUAUGCAUUUAAAUUCAAGAUUAUUCUUCCUAUUAUCAUAUUAAAUAAAUGC